UAAAAGUUUUUAGGCUUUUAUUUAGUGUGGAAAAUUAAUUUAAAUGUAAAUUUUAGUUUGAACUAGGUUGUUUUUAGAUAAUUGCUUUGGUAAUGGAGUUGCAAUAAAUAAUUUUAUAUAUUUGGUUGUUCAAUAUAUAGUGAUUUUUCUUAAGUACGAACAAAAUUUGUGCCAGCAGUUGCGGUUAUACAGAUUGUGCAAUUUUAAAUGAUUGAAAGCAGUUAAAUUUAUAAUUAGAUUGGAGUUUGGACUUGUUAGGUGAAAUUUUAAGUCUGUGAUUGUCUAUUUGUUGAGGCUGGUAAAUUUAAUAAAAAACUAGGAUUAGAUACCCUAUUAUAUAAAUGUAUGUUUAUUUUUCUAAUUAGUAUUAGCUAUGUUCUUGAAAAUUAAUAAAGUUGGCGGUAUUUUAGUCUGUUCAGAGGAACCUGUUCUGUAAUUGAUAUUCCACGAUUUGAUUUACUUGUUUUUUUAAUUUGCGUAUGGCUGUAGGUUGAAUAUGUUUGUUGAUAUAUAAUGUUCAAUAUUUUUAUAAAAGGUGAAAUCAGGUCAAUAUGUAGUUUAUAGACAAGAAGAAAUGGGUUACUUUUAAUUUAUUAUUGGAUAUUAAGUUUUAAUAUUUAGUUGAAAGUGGAUUUGAUAGUAAAUUUAUUAAAUAGGUAAAUUGAUUUAAGCUCUAAAAUAUGUACAUAUCGCCCGUCGCUUUCACUUUAAGGUGGAAUAAGUCGUAACAUAGUAGAUGUACUGGAAAGUGUCUCUAGAAAGAU
rnacentral:ncRNA from 1 species